rnacentral:rRNA from 1 species
GGUUAAGCGACUAAGCGUACACGGUGGAUGCCCUGGCAGUCAGAGGCGAUGAAGGACGUGCUAAUCUGCGAUAAGCGUCGGUAAGGUGAUAUGAACCGUUAUAACCGGCGAUUUCCGAAUGGGGAAACCCAGUGUGAUUCGUCACACUAUCAUUAACUGAAUCCAUAGGUUAAUGAGGCGAACCGGGGGAACUGAAACAUCUAAGUACCCCGAGGAAAAGAAAUCAACCGAGAUUCCCCCAGUAGCGGCGAGCGAACGGGGAGCAGCCCAGAGCCUGAAUCAGUGUGUGUGUUAGUGGAAGCGUCUGGAAAGGCGCGCGAUACAGGGUGACAGCCCCGUACACAAAAAUGCACAUGCUGUGAGCUCGAUGAGUAGGGCGGGACACGUGGUAUCCUGUCUGAAUAUGGGGGGACCAUCCUCCAAGGCUAAAUACUCCUGACUGACCGAUAGUGAACCAGUACCGUGAGGGAAAGGCGAAAAGAACCCCGGCGAGGGGAGUGAAAAAGAACCUGAAACCGUGUACGUACAAGCAGUGGGAGCACAGAGCAAUCUGUGUGACUGCGUACCUUUUGUAUAAUGGGUCAGCGACUUAUAUUCUGUAGCAAGGUUAACCGAAUAGGGGAGCCGAAGGGAAACCGAGUCUUAACUGGGCGUUAAGUUGCAGGGUAUAGACCCGAAACCCGGUGAUCUAGCCAUGGGCAGGUUGAAGGUUGGGUAACACUAACUGGAGGACCGAACCGACUAAUGUUGAAAAAUUAGCGGAUGACUUGUGGCUGGGGGUGAAAGGCCAAUCAAACCGGGAGAUAGCUGGUUCUCCCCGAAAGCUAUUUAGGUAGCGCCUCGUGAAUUCAUCUCCGGGGGUAGAGCACUGUUUCGGCAAGGGGGUCAUCCCGACUUACCAACCCGAUGCAAACUGCGAAUACCGGAGAAUGUUAUCACGGGAGACACACGGCGGGUGCUAACGUCCGUCGUGAAGAGGGAAACAACCCAGACCGCCAGCUAAGGUCCCAAAGUCAUGGUUAAGUGGGAAACGAUGUGGGAAGGCCCAGACAGCCAGGAUGUUGGCUUAGAAGCAGCCAUCAUUUAAAGAAAGCGUAAUAGCUCACUGGUCGAGUCGGCCUGCGCGGAAGAUGUAACGGGGCUAAACCAUGCAC